rnacentral:rRNA from 1 species
UACGGAGGGUGCAAGCGUUAUCCGGAUUCACUGGGUUUAAAGGGUGCGUAGGUGGAUCUAUAAGUCAGUGGUGAAAGCCCCGAGCUCAACUUGGGAAUUGCCAUUGAUACUGUAGAUCUUGAGUGCGGUUGAGGUAGGCGGAAUGUUGCAUGUAGCGGUGAAAUGCUUAGAUAUGCAACAGACCCCCGAUUGGGAAGGCAGCUUACCAAGCCGAUACUGACACUGAGGCACGAAAGCGUGGGGAUCAAACAGG